GAUGAACGCUGGCGGCGUGCCUAAUACAUGCAAGUCGAGCGAAUGGAUUAAGAGCUUGCUCUUAUGGAGUUAGCGGCAGACGGGUGAGUAACACGUGGGUAACCUGCCCAUAAGACUGGGGUAACUCCGGGAAACCGGGGCUAAUACCGGAUAACAUUUUGAACCGCAUGGUUCGAAAUUGAAAGGCGGCUUCGGCUGUCACUUAUGGAUGGACCCGCGUCGCAUUAGCUAGUUGGUGAGGUAACGGCUCACCAAGGCAACGAUGCGUAGCCGACCUGAGAGGGUGAUCGGCCACACUGGGACUGAGACACGGCCCAGACUCCUACGGGAGGCAGCAGUAGGGAAGCUUCCGCAAUGGACGAAAGUCUGACGGAGCAACGCCGCGUGAGUGAUGAAGGCUUUCGGGUCGUAAAACUCUGUUGUUAGGGAAGAACAAGUGCUAGUUGAAUAAACUGGCACCUUGACGGUACCUAACCAGAAAGCCACGGCUAACUACGUGCCAGCAGCCGCCGUAA
rnacentral:rRNA from 1 species